rnacentral:rRNA from 1 species
GUGUCAGCCGCCGCGGUAAGACGGAGGUGGCAAACGUUGCUCGGAAUUACUGGGCUUAAAGGGCGUGUAGGCGGUCGAUUAAGUCGGGUGUGAAAAACCUCGGCCUAACCGAGGAAUUGCAUUCGAUACUGAUCGGCUAGAGUGCGAGAGGGGCAAGUGGAACUCCAGGUGUAGCGGUGAAAUGCGUAGAUAUCUGGAGGAACGCCGGUGGCGAAAGCGACUUGCUGGCUCGUAACUGACGCUGAGGCGCGAAAGCCAGGGGAGCAAACGGGAUUAGAAACCCUGGUAGUCC